AACUGGGAAACUUGAGUGCAGAAGAGGACAGUGGAACUCCAUGUGUAGCGGUGAAAUGCGUAGAUAUAUGGAAGAACACCAGUGGCGAAGGCGGCUGUCUGGUCUGUAACUGACGCUGAGGCUCGAAAGUAUGGGUAGCAAACAGGAUUAGAUACCCUGGUAGUCCAUACCGUAAACGAUGAAUGCUAAGUGUUGGAGGGUUUCCGCCCUUCAGUGCUGCAGCUAACGCAUUAAGCAUUCCGCCUGGGGAGUACGGCCGCAAGGCUGAAACUCAAAGGAAUUGACGGGGGCCCGCACAAGCGGUGGAGCAUGUGGUUUAAUUCGAAGCUACGCGAAGAACCUUACCAGGUCUUGACAUACUAUGCAAAUCUAAGAGAUUAGACGUUCCCUUCGGGGACAUGGAUACAGGUGGUGCAUGGUUGUCGUCAGCUCGUGUCGUGAGAUGUUGGGUUAAGUCCCGCAACGAGCGCAACCCUUAUUAUCAGUUGCCAGCAUUAAGUUGGGCACUCUGGUGAGACUGCCGGUGACAAACCGGAGGAAGGUGGGGAUGACGUCAAAUCAUCAUGCCCCUUAUGACCUGGGCUACACACGUGCUACAAUGGAUGGUACAACGAGUUGCGAACUCGCGAGAGUAAGCUAAUCUCUUAAAGCCAUUCUCAGUUCGGAUUGUAGGCUGCAACUCGCCUACAUGAAGUCGGAAUCGCUAGUAAUCGCGGAUCAGCAUGCCGCGGUGA
rnacentral:rRNA from 1 species